UUUCUCCACCUGUAAAGUGGACAGCCUCAUGCCCCUUCUGAGUCAGCAGCAGCCAACAGAAACGCCUUCCCCAGAGGUUCCCUCUCAUACUUAGUCUCCAUAUAUAUAGUUUUAAGAUAUAUCACACAUGUUCUAUAUAAUAGCUAAAAGCCAGACUCGCUGAGGAAAGUAGAAAUAGAAGUUAGCAUGCAAAUCCGGAGAUUUUCUAAUCAUGUGUGGUGAAUUUCAGUUGGAUUUCUUGACAGAAGACUGUUCAGCAGAGCUGGCUGCGUGGUGGAGACCUCACAGGCGCCCCACUACAGGCUCUUUCUGACCACAACCUGAACCCGGUGACUGAAAGCAAGCAAAUUUCACCUACUCCUCAGCGCGUGCAAGACCCUGGAGAGAGCGUGUAUAAACCAGCAAGGGUCGACAACGCAGCUUCGACAACGUGUAACUGGUGAGUUUAACAAGCAGCACUUGUGACAUAAAGAAAACACAGCAUUACAGUCUUUCCCCCAGCAAACCUUUGAGCCUGAUUCAGUGGGAUUAAUUGUCUCCUGCCCAGGGAAGGCAGCUCUGGCAGAUCGUACUGCUUUUGCCUCCAAUCUUAUAUAAAAGAUACUCCAAGGUCACUUGAGGUUGCAAACACAAUCUC
rnacentral:lncRNA from 1 species